UACGUAGGGUGCGAGCGUUAAUCGGAAUUACUGGGCGUAAAGAGUGCGUAGGCGGUUCGUUAUGUCUGCUGUGAAAGCCCCGGGCUUAACCCGGGAAUGGCAGUGGAAACUGGCGGGCUUGAGUGUGGCAGAGGGGGGUGGAAUUCCGCGUGUAGCAGUGAAAUGCGUAGAGAUGCGGAGGAACACCGAUGGCGAAGGCAGCCCCCUGGGCUAACACUGACGCUGAGGCACGAAAGCGUGGGGAGCGAACAGG
rnacentral:rRNA from 1 species